rnacentral:tmRNA from 2 species
GGGGAUGUUUUGGUUUCGACAGGUAAGGAUGAGUCAACAAGGCAGCCGAGUGGUGACGUUAUCACCAAAAAAAAGAUAAAUGCCAAAAAACUUUAUCAUGUAAAUAAUGCUCCUGCCAUGAUGGCAGCAGCUGCUUGCUAGUUUUUUAAAACUCCGCAGCUCAGGGCUUAGCCCAGCAUAGUCGUCUCUUCUCGCUAUCAUUCGGAGAGGUUACGGCAAACUAAGAAUGAUUGCUUCUUUAUAGGCUGACAUAUAAAGAAUAAGAAUUAGUCAGCACCAAGAUCUGGCAGUCGUUUGCAGCUAAUAGAUCUUAAUUUAUGCAAACUAAGCUGUAGUCUUCUUGAUGGUGCCUUAUUUGGACACGAGUUCAAUUCUCGUCAUCUCCACCA